rnacentral:rRNA from 1 species
CCUACGGGAGGCAGCAGUGGGGAAUCUUGCGCAAUGGGCGAAAGCCUGACGCAGCAACGCCGCGUGCGGGAUGAAGGCCUUCGGGUUGUAAACCGCUUUCAGCAGGGAAGAAAUUGACGGUACCUGCAGAAGAAGCCCCGGCCAACUACGUGCCAGCAGCCGCGGUAACACGUAGGGGGCGAGCGUUGUCCGGAUUUAUUGGGCGUAAAGAGCUCGUAGGCGGUUCGGUAAGUCGGGUGUGAAACCUCCAGGCUCAACCUGGAGACGCCACCUGAUACUGUUGUGACUAGAGUCCGGUAGGGGAGUGUGGAACUCCUGGUGUAGCGGUGAAAUGCGCAGAUAUCAGGAAGAACACCAGCGGCGAAGGCGGCACUCUGGGCCGGUACUGACGCUGAGGAGCGAAAGCGUGGGUAGCAAACAGGAUUAGAUACCCUGGUAGUCCACGCCGUAAACGUUGGGCACUAGGUGUGGGUCUCAACCAACGAGAUCCGUGCCGCAGCUACGCAUAAGUGCCCGCCGUCGGGAGGUACGGCCGGCCGACGGACGUAAACGUUAAACGGUAAAGUUAGACGGCGUGGUAGACGUUGCGAACGGACGACGACGAGGGAGGAGG